UACGAAGGGAGCUAGCGUUGUUCGGAAUCACUGGGCGUAAAGCGCACGUAGGCGGUUGUGUCAGUCAGGGUUGAAAUCCCGGAGCUCAACUUCGGAACUGCCUUUGAUACAGCACGUCUUGAGUCCGAUAGAGGUGGGUGGAAUUCCUAGUGUAGAGGUGAAAUUCGUAGAUAUUAGGAAGAACACCGGUGGCGAAGGCGGCCCACUGGAUCGGUACUGACGCUGAGGUGCGAAAGCGUGGGGAGCAAACAGG
rnacentral:rRNA from 1 species